UAUGCUAUUGUAGAGGGCUAGCAUAACUUGAAUUUGGACUAUUUUUUUUGCCAUUUGAUUACCAGAUUGAAGACCACAGCGAUGCUACAGUACUUGAAAGCACUGUGACCACAGUGCACUGAUACUAUUCAUGGUAUUUUUUGUCUGCGCUAAUCGUAUGAAGAGUGUCGUCUGCAGUAAUGCAGACGAUCCAGACUCGAUCGUGUAUGUUCGAUUUACCAGCCCAGAAAAUGUUGUCUUCCAGCUGCACGUAUGGUGCUUCACCACUUUGCAUUGACCAUAUAUAUAUAUCCUCAAGGUGGUCUGAUUCUUUUUAACUUCCACAAGAUUGUAAUUAGAACCAUGUACGUUGACCGUUGCUCCUGUCGUCCAGUUGCUGCACGGUGCAGCAGCACUCAUGAUGUUCAGCAACAUUUUCUUGCUCAUUGCAACAUCUGCCAUGCCAUAUCUUUCCCCUGUACCAUCAAAUCAGUGCUUUAUAUCCUUGCAUGAAUUGUAGCAUUAUGAUGAUGCAGAGGACAACACAUAUAUAUAAUAUGUACGUGCAAC
rnacentral:lncRNA from 1 species